UUUCAAUGAAAGUCUUUCUUUAUGAGAACUAACUUUUGGGCUUCUGUCCUCAAGUUCAUUCACUCAGGUGUCCUAGCAGAGAAGCCACAGUAAACUAUGGAUUACUGUAAUCCAUUAAUGUUUGACCCACAAUGUCAGCAGCAGUGGCUGUAAUGAGCACACGAUGAAGGAAUAAACAUAAUCUGUCUUUAUUAAUACACAUAUUAACACACAGGAGAUUGCUGGAGGUCACAGAAACACAACCACAUUAAACAUAGAAAGGAUCGGACACAGACCAAAGAGAACGGUAAUUAACUGAAACUAACGACAGGUGAAAACGAAUCCAAAACUAAUGAUAGUAACACAAGCAAAAUGGGAACAAGAAAAACCAAAAUGCAAAGAAUGGUUGUUUUUCAUUUGAACAGUGUUUUUUUUUUUUUUAAUUUGAAAUUAAAUGUUCAGAUUUUUCAAAUGUUUUGCUUGAAAAGUGUAUUUGCAUGUGUACUGGACAUGUUUUUGUAAUAUUAAAUAAAUGCCUUUUGGUUUGUUAUACUAUGAGAUGCACACACUACACUUUUAACUGUGCCUUACAUUUAUUUUCCUGCUGUGCAGUCCUUACAGUAAUUAUUAAAAAUAAAAUAAAAUGGUGUAUAAAAAAUUUUAACCACUUUUUUUUUCUGGACAUUUUUUAUCUUCAUAUUUUCAUUCUGACUAAAAAUCUUUUUAUCUGCACUGUUUGUUCACUGGUUUGCACUCUAUCUGCCAUGUGCCUUGCGCUGCUUUUAUUUAACCUUAUUUUAUUUUAUUUUUUCUAUUAUGUCUUUUUUACAUUCCCUUAUUGUAUAGUUUUUAUCUUAUAUUUUAUAUUUGAUCUAGAUUUUUAGGCUCUACUGUUAGUGUUAUCUGUAUGCACCGGGGGUCUGAGAGUAACGCAAUUUCGAUUCUCUGUAUGUAUGUACUGUACAUGUGGAAGAAUUGACAAUAAAGCAGACUUGACUUGACUUGACUAACUGCACUCACAAGUGAAUAUUAAAUUAUGUUGUGGGAUAAUUAAAUAUAUUCUAAAUAAACUACAAACAUAAAAUUAUAUACAUUUAUUUUGUCCUCACAUUCUUUCUUGUAACUCAUCCCUCUCAGUCACACAGCUGACUGAAUGGCUCAUUAUGCAGCUCAUUAUGCAGGCCUUUGUCUUCUCAGGUGUGAAUUCAUGAUAGUUGACGCCUACUCGCAUAUGACUUUUACCAACAAAAAGUCUCUUAGAAAAUUUAAAUCAAUAUAUUGUUGUCCAUAAGUCAGUAAACAAGAUGAAUUUUAACAUCAUUUAGAAAGAAAAAUUCUAGGCUACAAGCUCCAGUUCUCAAAAGUCCCAGGAACCAAUUUUCUGUAUGUGUUUUAUUGCCUUAUUCGAGUGAUUUAAAAUUGUUAGUUUUUCACUAACCACGCAUAACAUUUUUUUUUCUCAAAAACACAAUCAUGUACAUACAUGCUGCUCACAUAUUAUUAUAGCCCAGUUUGUGCUGAUUACAGUGAGAUUAGACUUUAGCCAUUUAGAUAUUUAUAAGAAACUGAAAAAAGCACAAAUGUCAGGGCAUGACAAAACUUCUCCAGGCCCCAAAAAUACCCUUAGACUCCAGAGGUCCAUAAAAUAAUAAUACAAGAUACAAUGUUUAAUUUUAAAGCAACUAUAUGUAGUUUUUUUUUUUUUUUUACUUUUAAUAUCAAUUUCAAAAUCAUUCUGAUGGUUCACUGACCUACAGUAACUCAACUGGCUUCUGUUCCCUUUCAGUCAGUCACAGUGACUGACGAAUCGGGGAUCUUGCUAGAGAGGCGAAUCGCAUUCGAGUGUUAACAAAACAAGCCAAUGAAUGUUGGCGUGCAAGAUUUGCAUCGCGCACCCCACACCGCAGCGCGGGUAUAUAAGGAGAGCGCACGCAGUCACAUAUUCAGCUUUUCGCUUCGGAGCCGAGCCUUCAGCUUCCUGAGCAGAGUCUCAUCAAGACAGCCUUUUGACGAGUGUUGGUGUUACGGUGUGUCAGCGGGGGUUGCCAGUGCUGCUGCCUUUUUCUCAGCGUGCUGCAGCUUCCCAUUCUGCGGUCACGCUGCAACUCCUCCUGGGCGCUUCAACACUUCAUUGUUUUUUCAAACUAAAAAAGCAAUUCCUAAGAGAGCUCCACGAGUGACGGGGCAUCUUUUUAAAGAUGUCUUUCCACUCGUGCAUUUCUGGAUGUGG
ensembl:lncRNA